rnacentral:lncRNA from 1 species
UAGAUUAAGAGUCAGAACUAAUUCGGAACAGUUGGGGUAUCCGCCGGUGUGUCGGCCUGAGGCUUCGAGAUUGUAACAGCCCGGAAUUUCAGGUAUUUCUCUAAAUUAUUUUUGGGGCACAUUUAGGAGGGGACUCGGCGAGUUGGUGCAUGACUCGCCGAGUAGGGCCAUGGUCUUGGUCGCAGAUNAAUAAGGGACUCGGCGGUUCGACGCUGUUCAGCUGAACCCUAGCCGUUUCGAUUCUGGAUCGUAUAUAAUGUCUUUAGGGCCGUCAUGUCUCGUCUUUGGGCCGAUUGAAGAUAGCCUAAACGGUUGUGGGUAUCAGGAGCAAGGGUGAAGGCUAGUGGAAGCUUAAAGAGGUUGUUAGGCAAGGAGAGGCAAGGUGGUGAUCAAAGGAGGAUCAAGAGGUUGAGCUCUGAAGGUUGGGGACGCAGGGAUCACGUUUUACAGGUAAUCCUCGGAUCAUUUCUGUANGGCAAGGUGGUGAUCAAAGGAGGAUCAAGGGGUUGAGCUCUGAAGGUUGGGGACGCAGGGAUCACGUUUUUCAGGUAAUCCUCGGAUCAUUUCUGUAGUUUUGGUGUUGUACACGAAUCUAGGGUUUAGGAAAACCCAUUUAAGGAUUUGAUAGAUUAUAGAGUUGUUACAAGGGUUUAAAUCCCAGUAAUGGUAUAUGUAAAGGUCCAGGAAGUCCCAUAUCUAUAUAUUUUGGAAUUAUGCGAAAUACAGGAGGCAGCGGAUUGGCUGCAUGGCGAGGACUCGCCGAGUCCAAUGAUCAGACUCGGCGAGUAGUUUGAAGAUUCACUAGGACUCGCCGAGUUGUUCUUCAGACUCGGCGAGUAG